rnacentral:rRNA from 1 species
GACGUAGGGCGCAAGCGUUGUCCGGAAUUAUUGGGUGUAAAGAGCUCGUAGGUGGUUUGUCGCGUUGUUCGUGAAAACUCACAGCUCAACUGUGGGCGUGCGGGCGAUACGGGCAGACUAGAGUACUGCAGGGGAGACUGGAAUUCCUGGUGUAGCGGUGGAAUGCGCAGAUAUCAGGAGGAACACCGGUGGCGAAGGCGGGUCUCUGGGCAGUAACUGACGCUGAGGAGCGAAAGCGUGGGGAGCGAACAGG